GGGAGCUGGGAGGGACGGAGGGACGGAGCGGGAGAAGGGGAAGUUGUUAAAAAAACAAGUAAAAGGCGUUUUUGGGUGAUUCACUGAUGCCUGAAAAUGUAACUGGUUUGACGAGCCGUGAGCCCCUCAGUGCAGGGGCUGCCGUGCUGGGUGGGUGCUCCCCCUCCUCCGCGGUACCAUCGAAAGCUUAUGGAGUUCUGGCUGAGCUCACAGAAGGAGUCAGGCAGGUGCCAGUGCUGGUGGAAGGGGAGGGGAACAUAUGGCUGGGAACAGAAGGAAGGUGGGAAUGUGACAAGUGAUGACAAAUUGGUUUACUUGGAGAGGAGUUGCACUGUAGCUUGUUCCAGCCUUUGAUUUCUGCCGUGCUGACUUGAGCUGCGUGUGAUUUGCUCUGUGGAAAGUACAUCCCACUCCAAAUGAAACCAGGCAGAGCAAGUCCUUCAAGUAAGCCUUUGUGUCCCAAGAGAAGUAUCCAAGAAUAGCAAAUGUUUGAAAUGUUCUUGCUUAAAUUGCUCCACCUUUCUGUUCUUCAUCUGUAAGAUGAAGAUACUAAUAUUAACUUGCCUCAGGAAUCUUGUGAAGAAAAAGCUGCGUUUGUGAAGCUACCCUUACAGAAAGAAUAACAUAAACACCCAAGAGAAAAUCAACUAAAAUAUAUUUUUAUUCAACACUGCUUCUGAAUGGUUGUUAAAUAAAACCCAAGGCUACUUAGUGAAUAAGGAAGGUUACAAACACUUUAACAAUUCAGGAAGCACAAUUCACCUUGCAGCAUUAUUCAUUUUCUGCACUGAAAAAAGGGUGGAUGUGUGGUGGAAAAACUAAAGUACUUAUGCAAAUGCUGAAAUUAAACCUGUCCAUGGGUUUGUGUUUAAAUUGACUUAUUGCAGGCUCUGAUUCAAAGCUGCCUUAUUGCUGUGGAAUUGAUAUGGACUUUCCCUGGGCAGUUUCUCUGACUGAAGGGUGAAGUCAAGAAUAGUCUGGGGAUGCACAGGUGUAUUGAGUUGUUCCAUUGCAACCUGGGAAAAGCAGAGUUUGCAGAUACAGAUUUACAUGGAAUGAUGCCUGUGAAGUUUCCUGUUUCUUGUUUACCACUCCAGGAUUGAUGAAGACUUCAUCAUGCCAAGCAAAGAUGGGAAUUUUACCAGGAACCUUUAACAUCUUUAUAGUAAUGACAGAGCUUCUUUCCCUGGCUGUGUCUCUGUAUUAAGGUGUUCCUUAUUUUUCAUCUGAUUUUAAAUCCUGUCAGUCUAGUGAGCACUACUCAGGCAGAACUGAGCUGGGUCCUUGUAAGACAAAAUAGCCCAGGACCUCAGCCUGGCAGAAACAUGGGACACAACUCUUGUACUCUUUGUCUUUCCAGCAGGUUGAAACUGCCAUGUUUGCAGUUGUCCCUCCAGUAAUAUACUCACUAAGUGCCAAGACACUAAUCUGGGCAGUGGCAUCCAGUCCAUGAUGAUCCCAGUUCAAAAGAGGAAAAGCAAAUUCAUCCACAGCAAUGCAGAGCAGUAUUUCUUGGAAGGACUGCCACUGCCAAGAGCCAGUGGAUUUAUCUUGUUAGGCAGUAAAAGCCCUUUUCCUGACGCUGCUGACACAGGACAAAAGGAUAAUUUUGCCUUAAUCUAUUUAGCCAUGAAGGUUAAAGUUAACAGGUGAGAAUUUAUUGAUCACAUAAUUUGUUCUUAAGUGUUUUAGUGAUUCUGCAGCCAAAAUUCCUCCGGCAAAUGAAUUUUCAGAAACACUGGGAGUAGAUCAGUGAAGUCGAUCAGCAAAUUGUUAUAGAUUUCCUUUUCCAAAGCAAGAAGCAGGAUAAAAGCAAGAUAAACCUUGCGUGAAAAUUCAAGUGACCCAUUAAUGGCUGAUAGUGUGAUCUCUUUUCACACUCCAUUGAUUUCAGCUCUGGUUUAAACUCUGUUAAACAUUAACGUCAAUGUAAGUGACAAGGUGACUUGCUCUGACAGACUUACCUCUGGUCAAAGACAACUUUCAACUCCAAAAAAAACCCCUAAAUCCUUAGGUUUUUUUAAACUCUAUUCUGGGGAAAGACUGCAAAAUUAGAUCCAACCCUCUGAAUGCAAUAACUUUGUCACUGAUUUGAGGUACAGCACAACGUUAUUACUUGCAGCUGGUGAAAGAAUUUGCCUUUGCUUCCGUUUUUCAUGAAAAAGUCCAGCAGGAUGUCAGGCAGAUGGGGGCAGCAGCACCUCAACUCAGCGUUACAGCAGGCAAGAGCCACACUCAGGGGAAACUUCUGUGUUCCAUCAACACAGAUCUUUUGUGUAGACUCCCAUAAGACAACUUAAAACCACAGUGAUCUCUUUGCCAUUUCAACGAAUCCCUGUUUUUAUUAAUUUUAUUAAUUAUUAAUCAUUAAAUCACUUUACUGUUUUACCCUGUUUUGCCUAUCUUUGUCAUAGUAUGUACUUUUUUUAUAGCAUCUCUCCAGAAAUCUGUGAAUCUGAGAAAAUUUGUGUUUCACAGCAACUCAGGAAACAUUCUGAAAUCUGAGAUUUAUUUCAAAUUUUCACAAUAUUUGUAUCAUUCAUCCCUUAAAAGAAAUGUGUAAUUCCAGAGAACCUCACAAAAUUCAGUACACAAGAGGUACACUACUCAAAAGUAGUACUGGUCCUCAGAACCCAACAGUAUGUAUGAAAUAAUAGGUUUUUAGCACCUAAAAGUGAAAGAUUUGUGGGGGGAAAAACCCACAGAUUUGUAGCAAAUGUAGCAGGGAUCCCAGCCUAUUGGGAUUAGAGUGGUUUCUUGGCUUGCAUCAAAACUUGAGUGUGGAGAAACAAAUGCGUCUGAAAUGACUGCAGCUCCGUUUCACCAAGGCGUUAUUUACUAAUUGUGGCAUAAGGAUUGUAAAAUUGCAACAAAUAACCUUGCUCAACCCCAUUACUUUGCUAUUGUCAGCACUUGGCACUUGUGAAAUUCCUGUGUGCUUGAGCAUUUUUGCCUGCCUGCACUGCAGCUAGGGAUAGCAAGUAAAACUCCUGUGUCUGCUCAGCAGCUGGCAAAGUUUUAUUUGCCAUAAUUCAGUCUGCAUGAGUCAGCACUGCCUCCCUUCACAACAUGGUCUGGCCUGUCUGGAAAGCUGCUUUCUCUAUGGUUACAUAGAUGUUCUGUAAAUCCCAAAAUAAUUUCAGUGUGGUAGGCAAAGAAGCCUUUGCCACACUGAACAAAUACAGUCCAGCUCCCCAUCUGCUACUAAAUCAUAUCAGUGCUUGGCAGGGAACAAAGUUGGGACAUGAAUAUUUUAUUUUAUACAGCUAUGAAGUAAUAGAAAAUCCUGCAAAAUGAAUACAGUAGCCAUUUGUUAUUUUAAAACCUGUGUGGGCUUCUGGUCCAGAGAGCAAACCAAGAUCUCUAGUUCUAUUUCUGAUGCAGCGUGUGCUUUGUGCCUUCUACGACUUUUUGAUAAAUUGCUACUCAGAAUCAAUAUCAGAAGUGCACCACUCUUGUUUUUUUAGGUGUGGAAAGCAAAUAUUAAUUUGUCCUUUUGUUUAUCCCAUUGUGUUUUAUGCCUCAAUUUUAAAAUAAAGAUGUGAGUUAAAA